rnacentral:lncRNA from 1 species
UCCCAGUUCAUAAUUAGUGGAUAUUUUAUCAUCUAUGAAAGGAAAAGUCAUCUCUUGUACUAUUUGGAAUCAUGAUGCAGAAGGAUAAAACAAAUUAGUAAAUUAUUUAAUCUAGCACUAUUUCUGCCAACUGCAUUUGAGUUUGUAUUGGGUUGGCCAAAAAGUUUGUUCAGUUUUUGAAGCAAAAAUGAGAUACAAGUUUGAGAUACAAAAUGAUUUAUUCAAUCAAUAAUAUAAUUACUGUUUCAUUCCAGUAUCUGCUGCCACCUUGUGGGCAGAGUUGUAAUCCUCUACUCAAAGAAUUUCCUGUUUUUACUGACAAAAAGAUCUUCUAAGUGAAUUUUAACAUCCUCUUCAGAAUUGAAGGUUUGUCCAUUCAAUGAACUUUGAAGAGACUGAAAUAGAUGGAAAUCUGAAGUUGCAAGGUCAGGUGAAUGUGGGUGGUGCAGCAAAAAAUUCCCAGUAACUUCUGGCAUGUCUGUGGUUUGGCAUUACCAAGGUGAACGUCUGUCCUUAUGGUUAGCAAGUUCUUCUAUAGCAUUUCCCUGUUAACACAAUUAGACAGAUGUCUAAUUGUGAUCAGUGGUGAUGUUUGUUGUAUUUUUUGUUGGAGAUAUUAAAGAGAAAAAAAUUGAGCCAGUUAUGUAUGCAUUGGAGUAAAAUCCAGUAAAUGAAUGCAAUGAAUGUGAAUGAGUGAUUUGUAUAAGUUAUGUAUACUUAGAUAUAAAAAUUAAUACAUGUGUUUUAUAAAUUUUUCACUGUCAGCAGGAUUGUAGACUCUUCAGGCUUUGCAUGAAAGUAAGGAAAAAUGAAAAACUGUUUUUGUAACAUGUGUAAGUAAACAUUUUAUUAAAUUCUUUUAUUGACUAACAGUUGUUCAUGUAAAUCAGCAUCACUUUCCUUGAAUGACAAAUUCUUAUUCUAUCAAAGCUAUGCAUAAUUUUAUGCAAAAAUAAUAACUGUACUGUUUUGUGAAUAUAACUCAAUGUUAUGAUAUCAGGUAUAAAGAAUAAAUUUUUUGAGAUGGCAUAAGAGAGUACUUGGACCAAAAAGCAAACCAAAACAGUAAUAUUACUCUGUUGAAACAAUAAUGUCUUUAAAAAUAUUAUAUGAAGAAGCAUAGGAAAAUAUAUACUCGUUGUUGUUUAACUUCAGGUAAGCCCCAAUUAACUUAUAAUCAACCUUGACUAUCUAAUCAUAGUUUUUUUAGGAUUACAUUUUCUAUGUCUAUUGUUAAAACAGUGAAGUGUGAUUUGAGGCAGGUUUGGCUAUUAUAUCUAGGAGGUUAAAGUACUGGUACCUCUAAAUAAUUGCUUCAUCUAUUACAAAUAACUGGCACUCUGCUGGUUACGACGAUGAGGGUGCCAGUUGAUCUGAUCAAUGGAACAGCCUGCUUGUGAAAUUAACAUGCAAAUGGUUGAGCACUCCACAGACAUGUAGUUCUCAGGGAGAUCCAGCAGGACAUAGAGUGUGACAAGGCUUGCUUUUUGAAAUACAAGUAUUACUCAUUUUUACCAGCUGAGUGUGGACUAGAGCAAUGUGAAAUAAAGUGUCUUGUUCAAAGACCCACUGUACCACCAGGAAUCAAAUUCACAACCUUAUGAUCAGGAACUGAAUACCCUUUCUACUAAGCCAUGCACCUUCACAAAUAGCAGAUAAAUUCCAACAAUCUCUCUCUUUAAAUAAAACUCCAUAUUGUAUAAUGUUGUCCAGGGUACAUUAUUCUUGAAAAUGAAAAAAACAAAACAAAACAAUAACAACAAAAUAGUCAUGGUUUGAAAGCCUUUAAAUACAGGUGUACUCAAUCAGGGAAUACUUAGGGUUAAAGAGCAACACCAACUAGCAACAGACAAACUGCCUUACUAACUGAAGAAAUGUAUAGGUGUUCCUCUCUGUAUAAAUCAUAUACAUUACAUUUAAAAAAUAUUAAAAUAAUAGUGUAGAUGAUCAUAAUCAUUGUAAGCACUAAUUUGAGACAGAAAAUGAGCAAAGCCCACUUUUCAUCACAAACUUUGAACAUCGUAUGUUGGACAUUUGUAGAAUGGUCUAUUCAGCUGCUAUUUUGGUGAUUGAAGAAUUAUGAAAUGAAUUAUCUAUGAAACAGAUGAGAGAACUUGUGAAAAUAAAACAGCACAGUUAAACAGAAGUAGCAGAAAAAGUAAUUUAUGGUACUUAAUUUGGGAACUAGAAUGAUAGUCAGUUUGCGUUGUAAUCAGUAACAUAAUAAUUUGGCAAGGAAUAAAGAUAUGUUUGUGUCACAUCAACGGCAAUAUUGCUCUUCUUCUGACUCAGAUUGGUAUAUAUAAUAUCUGAUAUCAUUUAUAUUAAAACCUUAACUGUUAGUGGUAUUGUAUGCUCAUUACUGUUUUUUAUAUAAAUAAAAGGUUUUUAUAUAAAUAAAAAGUUUUUAUAUAAAUAAAAAAAUUUCAGCUGUGUCCCAGAAAAAGCAAUAAUUUUUAUAAAUGUAACUUAUAAUAAAGUCUAUCUUAUAUUAAAACUAUUCAUUUACUUUGAGACCUUUAACCCUCCCAAUCCUUGUGAGCUUUAUUCAUUUUUAAGGGCAAGAGAAACCCCAUGCCUAGGACUACAAAUAAUGAACACAUGUACAACUGGUAUAUACAAUGUAUAUUUUGGAAAACUGUCACAACCAUAGCUAUGACAAAGAGGAAGUAAGAAUAAACAAGAAACAAGACUAACAGCUAUGAAUCUGUUAAUCAAAUAAAUGCUGGAUGUUAGAAAUAGCUUUAGGGAAAACAAAAAAGAAUCUUGAUUUAAUGACUUUUGAAUUUAAUUAUUUGGUCAUUAUAUCCAUCUACACAUAUGAGAACAAUCAUCUUUGUUUCUUUGUUUUUCAGUUCAAUUAUUGAAAAUUAAGAAUGAAGUUCACACACAUGCACACACACAUGCAUGCACGCACGCACGCACGUGCGGGUGCAAAGAAUAAAAGACAAAACAAAAAAACCUAAUAACUUUACAUUUGUUCAGUGACAAUAGAUAUGCAUAUCAACCAUUCAAUUUCUGCUUCAUAAAUUCAUUUCUUUGUAAGAUGAUCCAUACUAUUAUUUAGGAAUGAUGAAUAUAUGAAAGCUGGGUGAAAUUUCACUGAUUACUUUAGAUAGCUGAUAUAACUUAAUCAAUCUUACUUUCAUAUAUAUUUUUCAUCAUUUGUUCUAAAUACUUCAAAGAACUGAUCAUUCAAAUAACAUUGAUGCUAAUUCAAUGUCCCUUGGUGGGCACAUCUUCCAGAGGAAAGCUGGAGUUACAGAAAUAAGAUACUCCAAGGCCUGGUCAGCAAAAAGUUUUAUUAAAUUCUUUCUCAAAUAUUCUUUUGAAAUAUAAUCAUAACAGAAAAUUAAUCCAUGUCAUCAAUCAAGUGAAGGUGACAGUAAAAAUAUUAAGUUUCUGAAACCAGACGGCAUUUCUGGAGUUGAUGUUGACUAUGAAAAAUGUACUCCUAGAUGAUAAAAUAAAAAUUGUGUGGAUAAACAGAAUAUAGAUAAUCAUAUUCUAAAAAUGUGAUUCACACACACACACACACACACACACACACACACACACAUACUGACAUAUCUAUGUAUACUUAUAAAAUAUUCUUUUUUUGUACAUCACCAGUAAGUGAUACCUUAUUCAAGAACUUAAAAAGACAAAAAAGCAAGUUUAACAGUGAGGUUAAAUGUAUCCAGCUUGUAUACUAGACAAUUUAGCAUGAGUGACAGAUAAAAAUAAAGACAAAUUACACAAAGAAAAAAAAUUUGCUACAUCUAUCAAAUGAUAUAUAUUCUCAUCAAAUACGUGUAAAAAAUUAUGGUUUCCAAAGUCUUAGUAGUAAAUUAUAGUGGUGAACAAAUAGAAAAAAUAGAAGCGAAAAUAGAGAAAGAAAAUAGGCUAAUUAUAUUUUAGGUUAUUAUCAAUACAAAUAUUCUCCUGAAAACAUCAUCCUUUAUUAGACUAAUUAAGGUUCUAGGAAUUCAUAUGGAAUUUUUUAAUGCAACCUUCUCAGGAAGCUGAUGUCGUAUAACUUUAAUUGAAGCUGACAUGUUUGUAACUUAAAUGGCCUAAUGUCAACUGUGUAUUGGUAUAGAACUAGUUUGUGUAUCAUUUCUUUCAGAAAAACAACUGUUUAUUCAAUUCCAGGAAAUAAGAGACAGGAAUUGUAGAAUAUUUAGUAUUUAAGUAAUAAAAACAUGUAAUUGGAGAACAUAUGGCAGAACCUCAUUGAUGGGAAAUGUCAGUCCGAUGCUAACAUUUCUGGUGGAGUGAAUAUGCAAUUCAAAGAAACAGGGAAGUCCAGAAGUUGUGCUAACAUAAAAUAUUCAAUUAUACACACUAUAUGCAGUAUAGUUGUUCAUGCAAGAGAUAGGGUUGAAUAUUUUACAAAAGAUAGAAACUAGAAUAGAUAUACUUUCAUAGCCUAAGCUUCAUUUUAAGAAAAAUGUUUGCUAAAAAGAAACCAGAGAAACUGAGAAGUUAAAUAUGUAAAAAGGUCAAGAUGCAAUUUGAAAGAUUUACUGAGAGAAGCAAAAGUAGCCAACUGUAUGUUAGUGGGACCUCUAAUAAAACCAUUUGGGUUGAACAAUGGAUGUGAUGAAAAAUAGCAGAUGUGUGUUUGUUAGAGGUAAAAAUACAUUGGUUGAUAAAUUUAUAUCUUAUUAGUGGACUUUUGCUUUUUUGAUGAUCUGUUUGCCAUCAUUUGCAAAAACAACGAAUAAAUUGGCUAACAUUAAUGGAUAAGGCCUACAGCUCUUGCAGCUUUUGUUACUUGGAGUCAUUUUAAAUGAAUGUCUUUUUAGUGAAUUCUACAACUUUGUGGAAUGAAAAAUGAAUUACUUGAUAUAUUAUAUGAUGGGCUGGUGCUUUGAUUUACUUAAGCCUGAAGCAUUAUUUGUCAAAUAAAGUCUUUGGUAUAUGGAACUUUUAUCAUUAAUUCUUAUGACAAUUUAUUUAAUAAAUCAAAUAUAAACACAAUUUUAUAGCUAUAAAGACUCAAUGCAAUUCCUUCUCAACUGGUGUCAGCCACUUUGGAAUUUCUGAUUAUAUACAUUCGAAAAUUCCAUGAGCUUGACAGAUUAUAUGCCUUCAUAUCUCACAAAGUAUUUGGUUUCAACACAGAUCGUGACAAUUACAAGGAUGUGAUAAAUUGUUUGACGGAUAUCAAUGUUAAAGGGUAUCUAUACUAUAAUUGCUUAAAGAAUAUCAAUAUUAAACUGGUGAAUGAGGGUUUUGUUAAAACUGUUGAAUGUGCUCUGAACUAAAGCUUAAAUUUACAAUCCUAUGCAUAAACAUCUUGUAAAGGCUAUGGAGCUUAUUUCAUUGGAUUUUGUGGAAGCUAAACAGUUGGUAUCUCAAAACAAAUACCUUUUAGUGGCAGUUGAUGAUUAAUCACAUUACUUGUUACAAAAAGCUAUUUUCUCUAGCCAGAACUUCCAGUACUGUCAACACUGAUAAAGAAACUCAGUUCAUGUCUAUGAAAGUGUGAAAUUUCCUAAAACAAGGAAAUGUACAAAGCAGCAUCCUGCUCUUACAACCACAGAGAAAAUAGACCAAGAGAAAAAUUGAUCAGAUUGUACAGAAGUCAGUAAUGUUAUAUUUAAAGCCAUAAGAUCCUUCAGAAUCUUGUUGGAAAGUUGUGCUUUUUGAAAUACUUUAUUCACAAUUAGAUGUUGACUCUCAACAGUUAACUGAUGAAAUUCAUGAUUGUCUCUUUCUUUUUAGACACCAUUCUUCAGACUGCAUCCCAACCUUCUUGUUUAAUUUCUUUUAGCCAUGUCCUUAUAAAAAAAUCAUGCAUGCAUGCAUAUGCAAAAGUGACCCCUUAGAAGAGGAAGUUUAAACAACUGUCAUAUAAUAACAAGUUUGACUUUGUUUGGAAAAAGUAGUUCAAUAGUAACACUCCAUUAUUUGUCAUGAUGCCCAACAUCUUCAGAUAAAAUACUCAAGUGCAUAGAGUUGGACUUACCAAUUGCUAAGUCAUUUCCAGAUCCUAAUAACACCCUGGUCCUCAUCUUUUAGUCCAUCAUAAUAUUAUUUUUUAAGAGGAAGACUCUUUGACUGGCAGAGAUGGAAAAAUCAUUUUACUUUGCCUUCUCAAGUUUAUUGCUCUUAUUGAUGAACCUUGUUAUCGAUAGAAAGCUAACAAAUCACCUGAAAGACUUAAUUUGUAAUUUUUUAAUUGUGUUAAAUUGUAUUAGUACAAAAAUCUAUUCCAACUAUAACUGUUAACUCUUGCUGCUUUUAAAAUGCCAUAGUUUAUCGUUUUCCUUAAGGGAGGGUGAAUUUUGUGAUCCUGGGUUUCUAUAACAAUGUAAAUUAUGAUGGGUGACUACUUUCCUUUACUGAUGCUAGAUACUCUGUUAUAGCAUUAUUCUUUGAAUAAAGUCUUUGGUAUAUGUAUCUCUUAUAGAUAUGUUUUUAUGACAAUGGUGUAAGAGGUGUUUCAAUUGGAUGGUAUUAGCUGUAGAAAAUGGUUUUUCACCUUGGAUAAACAGGAUACUUCAUGCAAAGAUCAAAUCAACUGGCUGGUUUAAAUCAUCAGGGUAUAGAGGGUGCUACAUUCUAUAACAUUUUGGUGGUAUGGUAAUCAAAGUAAUUGAAUGUGAGUUGAGAAAAGUGAUGAUAAAGCUUAAGUUAGGAAAUAAGAAUCUAAUCAACAAUAUGAGUAGCAUAGUUAAAGUGUAUUGCUGGAAUAUCAAAGACAUUCCAGUUGUGACUAUCUCAUCUUUUUUUUUUAACUGUAUCUAUAAUUACAUUAUUCAGUGUCCUGUUUUAAAAUACUACUAGUUUGAGUUGAAUAGGAUUUGGCUAUUAUUUCCAGCAGAGAGAUUGACUAUAUAGAAGCUUUUUCUGACAAGAGUUAGAAAACUCGAUUGGCAUCACUGUUGCCUCUAAACUGUGCACUUUAGCCUUGGGCUGACCAAUACAUUUUGAGUGAUAUUAGAUAGGUAGACACUAUGUGGAGGCCUGUCAUACUAUAUAUGUGUGUGUGUGUGUGUGUGCAUGCACGUAUUAAUUGUUUUUGAUGAUGCAGUUAAAGCUAUGAAUAUUGGAAUAAAAAAAACCCCUUUGGAUGGAAAAAAUCAAAGGUUGCUUGUGAGAUCUGAACUCGUGUCUGGUGUGAACAUGACUGAUAUUUUAUCAUUGUACCAAAGCAACCCUUUGAAUUUCUCCAUUAACCUAGAAACUUUGUGAGAACUGUAUGUUGGUGACAUCAUACCAUAAGAAUUUAGAAACUUCAAAAGAUGUGAAAUGAGUAAUUUUUAAUGGUAAACUUGUUCCAUCCAAAGAGUUUCUUCAAACCAAUACUUAAAUACUUUUAUUUAUAGCUUUAGCGACAUUGAAUUCUUCAAUUAAAAAUGAUUAAUUUUAUAUCUCUUGAAGUUUCUAAAACCUUAUGACAUAAACAACAACAACAACAACAACACACACACACACACAGUUCAAAAUUAUACAAAAAACAAAAAAGAGACAGGUGAAGGAACAACAAACAGGGUGUUAUCUAUAUAUAAAAAUGUUUGAGCUUGGCAACAAAAAGAGACAGUACUAAGUAUGUGCUGCAGUAGAUAAUUGAUGCUUUGGAAUGCAUUCUAUGUGGUUUGCAUUUUGGUGUCUCUAGACUGUGAAUCUCUCUCCUGAGUUAAUUUGGUUAGUUAUUUAAUCUGGUUCAAAUUUUCUACCUGUUUUAUGCUCAAACUAGUCACAUCUGGCCUCUCACAUCUACCCUACUAUGUUAUUCUAAAAAUAAGCAAUCACAUUAUUGAAAUCUCAAAGAUAUGAGACAAUGCAUGGUUAAUUCAAAACAGUGUGAAUAAAUAAGUAUUACAGUUGACAGCAUAAUCUGAAUGCUAAAGGGUUAAAUAUUUUUUCAUAAUUUGAGUUUCACGAUAAUUUUUUAGACGUAGUGUAGAUAUCAUGCUCAUUGGGUCUUUUCUAAAAUUAUCAUAUAUAUUUUUUUAGUUAUCUUUAAUGAAGGUGUUGUCUGUGGCGAAAAUUUUUGUUGGUCUGUUUUCAAAAUUGUUUUGUUACUUUUGGGGCUUUCACCAUGGUUUUCAUUGCAUAUAUACAUGCACAUGUUGAAUGUUAUUGUGAAUAUAUAUCUAUGUAUGUAUAUAUAUGUAUGUAUACACACAUAUACACACCACAUACACAGAAGCACCUCCACAUGUGUGCAUAUGAGUGCUUCUCAUCAUUAUCGUCGUUUAACAUCCACUUUCCAUGCUGGCAUGGGUUGGAUGGUUUGACUGAGAACUGGCUAGCCAGGAGGCUGCACCAGGCUCCAAUCUGAUUUGGCAAGAUUUCUACAGCUGAAUGCACUUCCUAAUGCCAAUCACUCUGGGAGUGUAGUGGGUGCUUUUUACAUGACACCAACCCAGGAGCCAGUCAGGCAGCACUGGUCUCAACCAUGUUCGAAUGGUGUUUUUUAUGUGCCACCAGCACAAAUGCUGGUUAGGGCAGCACAGGCAUCAGCCACGACUAUGAUUUCACUCAGUUCAACAGGUCUUCACAAGCAUGGCAUAUCGCCCAAUGAUUGAAAGGUGCUUUUUAAUGAGCUAGUUAUGUGAAAUUGGCAUUGGCCAUGACUACAAUCUCACUUGGCUUGUUGGGUCUUCUCAGGUAUGGCAUUUCUCCAAAGGUCUUACUUGCUUGUCAUUGCCUCUGUGAGGCCCAACAUUUGAAGGUCAUGCUUCACCACCUCAUCUCAUGUCUUCCUGAGUCUACCUCUUCCAUAGAUUCCCUCUAAUGUUAGGGUGUGACACUUCUUCACACAGCUGUCCUCAUCCACAUCACAUGACCAUACCAGCCCAGUCAUCUCUCUUGCACACCACAUCUAAUACUUCUUAUGUCCAACUUUUCUCUCAGGGAGCUUACAUUCUGUUGUGUAUGCACACUGACAUUACACAUCCAGCAGAGCAUACUAGCUUGAUUUCUUUCAAGCCUACACAUGUCCUCAGCAGUCACAGCCCAUGUUUCAUUAUCAUGUAGCAUGGCUGUUCACACACUAGGUGUCAUACAGUCUACCUUUCACUCUGAGUGAGAGGCCCUUUGUUACCAGCAGAGGUAGGAGCUUUCUGAACUUUGCCCAGCCUGUUCUUAUUCUAGCAGCUAUGCUCUCAGAGCAUUCAUCCCUACUACUGACUUGGUCACCUAGGUAAUGGAAGCUGUCAACUACUUCUAGUUUUUCCCCCUGGCAUGUGAUGGAAUCUGUUUUCUGUACAUUUUUGGUGUUUAUUACCUGUGCAUCUGCCACAUACAAAAACUAUCUUCCCAGUUAACCUUCCUUUGAUAUAGCUGCACCUUUUAAGUCUCCAUAGCUUACACUGGGUACAGCAUAUGAAGUUUUUACCUACACCUUUUCUACAGACUGAGCUGGGCCAUCUACCUGAAGGGAGUUGUGAUUUGUCUGCCUUCCUACUUACUACAACUUUGGUUUUUGCUAGGUUAAUUCUAAGGCUCUUAGAUUCUAGACCUUGCUUCCACACCUGAAACUUCUCUAGUUCUGGUAGUAACUCUGUUAUUAGAGCAAGGUCAUCAAUAUAGAGGAGCAGCCUGUCUUGAAUUUCUGUUAUCUGGAAGACUAUGAUGAACAAGAGGGGGUUGAGAAGUGAUCCUUGAUGAACCCCCUACUUCUACCCAGAAUUCUUUGUUAUACUUGUUGCCAGCCCUCACCUUACUGACAGCAUCCCUGCACAUGGCUUGUACAGCUCUCACCAACCACUCCUCUAUCCCCAGUUUCUACAUUGAUAAGGGAUCGGGGGGACCCUGUCAAAAGCUUUCUCCAUGUCAACAAAAGCCAAGUACAGAGGUUUAUCUUUGGCUAGGAAUUUCUCCAGUAGCUGUCUUACCAGAAAUAUAGCAUCAGUGGUACUUCUCUCUGACACAAACCCAAACUGCAUCUCAUCUAAACUAACUCUCACCCCAAUUAGUUGGGCUAUGACCCUCUCUGUGACUUUCAUCACCUGCUCCAGUGUUUCUGUAUACAUUUAUGCAUUGUGUGCUGUGUGUGUAUAAGGAUACACAGAUGCAUGCAUGCACAUGCAAACAUUUAUAUAUACACACAUGCUCAUGUCUGUGUCUAUAUGUACAUACAUUGCUAUGUAUGUUCUUAUGCUUGCAUAUUUAUGCAUCACUGUGUACAGGUAUCUGUAUACAUAUGCACAUACAUCUGCUGAUGCUUUCUUUGCUAACAAUAAGUCUGUGAAUAUAUAUGCAUACACUUGUAUAUGUGAACAGUUAUCCAAUUGUUACUUAAUAUUCCUUACAACAGGCAACUAAUAUUCUGAUAGAUACUGUAGGUGGUUUGUAUUUUGAUGUUUCUGCAUUGACAUUCAUUUUUGUGCUUUAGUUUGGUUACUCUGGUGUUUAAUUUCUGUUGGUAUUUUUAUGCUGUCACUGCUGUUGCGGUGUAAUUGGAUGUUUACAUGUUGCAGUGAGACCAUUCUCAAAAAUGAACACAUUCUGGUAGCUGAAAUGUGAUAUCGCUUAUUUCUUUAGUUUAGCAAGCACAUUCAUUGUAUAAAUAUAUUUUUCUGAAUUGUACAAGGGGCACAUACCAAAAACAUAUAUACUAGAUGUACUUGCCAUGACCCAUUGGGUUACAACUACUCCAAGUUAAAAAUGUCGAUGCACAACGGAAAAGGAAAAAAUACUAUUUCGAAUAUCAUGUAAUAAAAUUCUUAAAUAAUACAGUUCUCCUGCCUUUGGUGUGACAAAGGUAGGAGAACUGUAUCACUUUCUUCUUUGCCAUUCUUUGUUACUACUGUUCCCUGUGAAAUAUAUGGAUACUUCAGCAUAAAGUAAUGUUUUUUGCGAAGUCAUCAUUCUGUCAAUGUUGUUCUCAUAUGUUGUUCAUUGACAGCCUCAUUAUUUCUGAGCAAUAUUCUCUGUUCAUCUGGUAGAUGAACUUGCAAUCUAACUAUUGCAGGUGCUCUUUCAUGAAUUGAAAAUCCAAAAAUGGAUGCAACUGCUUCGGAUGGUCCAGUGUACCUGCCCAUUAGAUAUUGACUAAUUUCGUUAUCAUUAUUUAUUUGAACAGCAGCUUGGUCAUUUCCUUUCAGUGUGUACUUGAGGACGUACUUAACUGACCUCACUGAGGCAAUGAUUUCAAGGUACAACCCAUUUGUCGUUUGUUUUUCCAUUCUUAUGAGAUUCAGUUCCCCCCAUUGCAACUGAUCUUCGUCUAUAAAGAGAUAGUCUCUCUGUCUGUUUUUCUACCUUUUGUUUAAGAUAAAUAAAAUUGUAAUUUUCCCCUUUAAGAAAAAAAAAAAAAAAUCAAGUACCUGUGAUUCAAAAAUAUCUCAUAAAAAUAUAGGAAGAAUUUCUAUCUUUCAAGCCCACAGCACUCCAAAAGUUGUAUAAGUGAUUAAGGGGAGAAAAAAGAAAAGAGAAAGGGUGGACAGAUGAUGACUUUUUGAAAUGCUGGCAUUUUCAACUUGAUUUGUUUUUUCUUAAAGGGGGAAAUAACUAUUUUAUUUGUAAUCUUCAUCAUCUUAAUCACAUGGUAGGAAAACAGACAAACUUUGAGUUUUAGUAUAAUAUAGAUAAGAAUACAAAAGCUGUGAAACGCAACUAGCAAGCACUGAACAAUAACAAAUUAAGGAACAGCUUCUGAAAAAACAAUAUAGUCAAUGAACAAAAUAAAACUUUGAAAAGAGAGAGAGAGAGAGCGGGGAGGAGGGGAUGGAUGGAGGGAAGGAGAGAGAGAGAGAGAGAGAGAGAGAGAGAGAGAGAGAGAGAGAGAGAGAGAGAGAGAACACAUCAGAAACAUCAUACUAUAUAGCAACUAACAAAUCAUAACUAAAACAAGAAACAACUUCAGAGAAAUGAUUUUAAGUAGCAAGAAAAUAAGAGCAUGCAUGUAUGUAUGUUUGUGCAUGUAAAAGGCAACAAAGACAUACCUCUCUGAGAAAUGCUUGGUAGCUUCAAAACCUGAAACUGACCAUCACAACUUAAAGACCCAAGAAAAAUUUGAAGCAGACCUUAUAGACACAAUAAAGAAAGUAAGAGUCAAAAUCUAAAGUGAUACAUUUCAGAACCGACUACACUUAGAGAUCAAAUCAGUACAAAAUCUGGAAAGACCUUCAUAUUCACAGACAAUACAAAAUACCUGUAUGAUAUAGGAAAAAAAAAACACUCACCCACAACAACUUAUGGAACAGCAUACCAAAAAUGUAUAAAAUAAACUUCAACAUCUACAACACAAUCAAGAGAGAAGCACAAAAGAUAGUAAUAACUGUACAAACAGAACAGAAAUCCAAGCAAGAUGUCAACCAUACAUUAUAAUGAAAAACCCAAUGUCUGAGCAAACCCCAAAUGCAACUAAUUAAUCCAGUAAAAGACAAAUAAGGUGUAGUGAGCAAGGAAAUCUUUGCAGUUAUCAACACUAAACAGCACAUUUGUCAACAACUGGCUCAACAACAUGGAGAUCAAAAUGUUGUCUAACUUGACAGAAGUCAACAUUGUAUAUUUCUAUCCAUUGUUGAAAAAACACUUCUAAUAAAAGCAUUGAACUUUAUGAUAAGGUUCACUAUCAUUCGUGACUACAAGGCAAGCAGUAUAAUGCAGUCAAGAAGGAAAAGAACCUGAACUUUUAACACGAGCAUCAGAUGUUAUAUAGAGUGGAAACAUGCAAACACAUGGAACUACCAUAUGUUAACAUGUAUAAGGAACCCUUUUUUUGUCAAAAAUUAGGUUGAAAAAAUAUGGGAGUUUCUUAUACAUGGGUAAUAUUAUAAUCCCUUACAAAACCUUUUUUCCAAAUUUUAGGCCCCCAAAAUUAGGAGGUUCCUUAUACAUGUUAAAAUACAAUACAUUUGCAAGUAAAUAUAAGCAAAAUAGCCAACCAAUAAAAAAAUGACUAUGUAGUAGUCUCUCUAAACGUGGAUGGACAUUGAUUAGAGAAAUUUCGAAAAAACUCAAUAAAUGCCCCCAAAAACUUAUAUUUCAAAGUAUUCUUCCAAACAAACCUACCCAUAAUAUAUUUCCUAGAUAAAAUAUUAAACUUAAGUAGGAAUUCCUGCUUAGGUUUAGUGUUACAACUAAAAACAACAAAAUUUAAUGAAUUGCUAUAUACAACCCCUCCUUCCCCAAUCGCUGAUCUACUGACAAUCAUUAAGUAUCUAGUCAGAAACACAAGCUGGUGAACUUAUACAAUAUCAUCAGAUAAACUAAUAUUUGACAAAGCAGUUCCAUUCUACAACAAACCCCUAAAAGUGAACAGGUUCACAUACCACACACACACACAAAAUUUUAAAAAAAUAUAUAUACCGAGAAUUGUUCAACGAUAAAUCAAAAAUCAGAAAAAGAAACAUCAGCUGGUUCAACCCACUCUUCAACCUCAAUGUUGUGGCAAACAUGGCAAAAUAACUUCCUAACACCAAUCUCCAGAUAUUUUGUAGUCAACCAUAGAUACCACGAGCUAAUCAAUAGGAAUCAGGAACUAUAUGAAAGUUAAUUACUGCUGUACAAAAACUAUACAACAUGCAACUCAAGUCAUAAACAACCUUACACCUAGAAAUACACAGCCAAUAGCCAAAAACAAAUGCAACUGUUGCAGACCAAGGUCAUGCCAUUAAGUGGAAAACUGUUUUAAAAAGUAGUGAUUUACAAGGCAACAGCACUGGAUAAAGGAAAACCAAGACUAACUGCAUCAGAACAGAAAGUAGAAUGUUCAAAGCAAUAAGCUCAAAUCAUAUUCACUCUGCAACACUGACAGAACUGCAAUGUCCCUAUCAAAGUAUAUUGGUGACCUGAAGGAGAACAAUAUAAGACAUAGACUGGUAAAUAAUAGUUGGCACAACCCCUUACAUAAAUAGUUCUGGGAUUUGCCUUUUAUACACUACAGACAACUAUAACAUUAUUGCAUAACAAAUAUGCUUGUUAAACAAAUGAAAUGAGAUGUCUUAUAGAUACUACAAUAAACUCAUUUUGAAAAAAUGAGUCCUAACUUAACUGCAGACAAGGUUCACACCUAUUAAUACCUUAACUGCAAACAAGGUUGACACCUAUUGAUAAGCGUUGGGGCGUAACAAUGUCAACACCGACAGAAGCAUAAACUAACCAACCAACUCAUGAAAAUGAAUGAAAGUCCAGAGAUAACCAAAUGGAUACCACUUAGAGUACAUAUCAAAGUACUACCAUAAAAAUCCAUGUAAUUUGCGCACCUGUGUAAUUUAUGCAGGUGUUCUACUCAUGUAAAAUUUGCAGUUUUCAGAACUGCUAUGGCCAGGGGAAAAAGGUUUUCAAUUUAAUUGUAUUUAGCAUAAUCUAACUUAGGUCUUAUUAAAUUUUCAUUAAAUAAAAAUAACUUCUGUUUAACAGGUAUCACAUUAAAGCUAUUAAAUUAAAAGUGUUUGUGUUGUUUAUCAUAAACUUUAUUUUACAGUUCUUGCCCACAAGAGUUUAUGUCUGAUCUUUAGCAUACUGCUGUAUGUCUUCUGAAAUCACAAUCACAGGAAAAAUUGUUGAUAAGAAUUAUUAACAAAAACAAAGCUGAUAAAUACACAUAGGUGUUGCAAAUUAAGUUUAAUUACCAAUAAACAUAAAUGGUUUUAGUAAAUUUAUACAGAAAAAUUAAGCAUUAUACUGUCCAUCAAAAAUAAAAGUCAACUUCACUAUAUUUAAGCCCUUAUUUUUUCUGUAAAAACCUAUUCUGACAUUUCUAAAAAAUUAUGAAAACAAUCUACUCAUGUAAUUUACACACCCCUAAAGUUUAUUUUUAUUUUUGUAAAAAAAAAGUGUAAAUUACAUGGGCUUUUAUGGUAAUUACCACUCUCAACAAACAUUAAUUACUAAGUAUUAAUUGUAAAAAUCAUUCACAAAUACAACUGUAUACAUGCAUAUUCACAAACCGAUUGUUAAGGAAGAAAAUAUCCAUUUUCACAUAUACAUAUAUGCAUAAACAGAUACAUGUACACACUUAUGCUUAAUUAUACAUACUUAUGAACACGUGUAUGCAUAUAUAUAUAUAUCGACACACACAAAAAAUGAUGUGUGUGCAUGUGUUUGUGUAUGUAUAUAUACAAAUACAAAUGCAUAAAGUGUUCUGAAGCUUGACAGCUAAUUCAAACUGUUUUGAAUCAGUAAUCCAAAUGGUUGUUCAAUGAAUUGGAUUAUGAAGAAGUAGAGUUAUUCUUUUGGAUAUAAAAACUACUACUUGUCACUUUGUAUACAUCUAUUAGCAUUUAAUAUUAGUGUAACCACUGUUCAGUUGCAAAUAAUGAAUCAAUAUACCAUUCAGUUUAAUAAUAAAAUUGUUUAUUCAACACUUUUGCUGCAAAAAAAGCCAAACCUGUACAAUUACUGCUUAGUUCAAUGCCAGAAUUUGAAAUUUCAUUUUCUCAUCAGUUUGUUAUCUGUUAAUGAUAUUAUAUAUGGAAUUGGUGUAGGUUUAGUCUUAACUAGACUGGGUCUCCAUGUUUGAGCUCCAAGAAGCUUUACAGAUUUAUCAUGUUUCUGAAGUCCCACAAAAAUGAAACACUAAAAUUACAUCUCCUAAUGUACAUGACAUAUUUAGGUUCUCUUUUGUGAAACUUCCUUUUUUUUUUCACAAUAUAUUUCACUUUUGAAAACAGGAAAAUUAUAAAAUUCCAGAGUCAGCAAGUUACACAAUAAAUUGAAUGGACAAAGUUGGCAAGAUACUUUAUUAGAAUCUUUUCUCAAAAUGAUCAGAAUUCAAUUUUAAAGUUGAAUUCUAAAAAUGUAUUUGAGGCAGAGGAAAUCUAAUGGUAAAUUUAUUGUAGUUAAAUACCAGUGAAAAAUAUAUUGAUAUGCAUCAAAAUAUAUUUUUGAAAUAGUUAUAAUUAAUAUAAUAAAAAUAAAUUCAAAUGAAUAGGGAAAUCUGAUGCACCAACAAAACAAAAAUCAGGCGAUCUAAUCAGUGAUUAUUCUGUUUUUUAGAUUGCCAUCAUAAGUCUAUAUCCAUCUAUUUAUUUGAUUGAAAGUACAGAUCAUGAAAUUAAGAUAGAGGUAAUUAUAAAUAUAAUAUAAGUAAGAAUCUAAAUUUACAAUAUCUUAAAACAUUCUAGAAAUUUGUUUUUCAUUAAUUUAAAUCUAAGCAAUAUCAGUAUAUAGAAAAAUAUCUCUAAGAUGGAGAUAAAAUUUUAAUAUUUCUGACAAUGAUUCAAUAUAAACCACCACAGUAUCUGUACACAAAUAGACUAAACAACAAAUUAUAUUAAGAUAUUCUAUUGGUUCUAUCAUAGUUCAAUAGGUGUUACAGAGGAGGUAAACUUUUAUAAUAUCAAACUAUAUGAAAUUAUUGUAAAUAUUUGUAGAGAGCUAACAAUAAGAAUAGUAACAUAGAAGAAGAAGAAGAAACAGAGCCUAGAUACAAGAUCAGUAUUCAAUUAAUCAUAGAAAUAGAUGGCUAGAAGGCUGUUUGUUGGUUUAGAUCAGUUAUUUGAUUUCUGUAGGAAUACAACUCAGAUACAGAAGCAGCAAAUUAUUAUUUUCCAUUUAACAUCCUUUGGAGCUUGUCACGCUAUAUGUAGACAAGGUUUCAUUUAACUUAUUGGAAUGGUUAGGAUUAUAAGAUAAUAUCAAGUGUGGGUAAGGAAAUGUCCUAGAGAUUCCGAUGUUCCAAAUUAGGAGAGAAAAAAUAAUAAUAGUAACUUAACAGUAAUUACAAGUCAAAGGAUUUUUAGCAUAAUCCAAAUAUAUCCAAGACUUUCACAAAUGCACUUAUAUAUGUGCACACAUUUAUUUAUAUAUCUGCUAGUACUUAUAAGUAAAUAUAUACAAACAAAAAUUAGUAAACUACGCAAGGAAACUUUUGAUCCGUUGUAAAAAUAGGACUGAUAAAUGGAAUACAUUUAAACUGAACUGCUCUGAACUGCAUAAUCCCACAGAAAAUUUAACCUCAUCCUCCUCUGGUAUUGGAUCGUCUAGGAGGGCGAUAAGUUGAUCCACCACCGUGACCCAUCAAUGGACGGUGACCUGCAAAUGUAUAAGAAUAAAAUUCAUUUAAAGUAAACUGAAACCACGCAGAGAGCAGAUAUAUUUUAUUUUUCAAAUUUUUCAGCACAACAAAAUGAAU